rnacentral:rRNA from 1 species
UACGUAGGGUGCGAGCGUUGUCCGGAAUUAUUGGGCGUAAAGAGCUCGUAGGCGGCUUGUCGCGUCGGAUGUGAAAGCCCGGGGCUUAACUCCGGGUCUGCAUUCGAUACGGGCAGGCUAGAGUUCGGUAGGGGAGAUCGGAAUUCCUGGUGUAGCGGUGAAAUGCGCAGAUAUCAGGAGGAACACCGGUGGCGAAGGCGGAUGUCUGGGCCGAUACUGACGCUGAGGAGCGAAAGCGUGGGAGCGAACAGG